rnacentral:rRNA from 1 species
UACAGAGGGGGCAAGCGUUGUUCGGAAUUACUGGGCGUAAAGGGCGCGUAGGUGGCCUUCUAAGUUGAACGUGAAAUCCCUGGGCUCAACCCAGGAACUGCGUCCAAGACUGGGAGGCUUGAAUCCGGGAGAGGGAUGCGGAAUUCCAGGUGUAGCGGUGAAAUGCGUAGAUAUCUGGAGGAACACCGGUGGCGAAGGCGGGUCUCUGGGCCGAUACUGACGCUGAGGAGCGAAAGCGUGGGGAGCAAACAGG